CACUGGGACCUGCACUCAGCUUGCUCUAUGGGAGUCAGCAGCUGCUUAAAUCAGAGAAGGCAUGUGGCUGAUUGAAUCACCUGUCAUAUUGAUUUAUGGAGCUCGAAGGUCAUUUCUUUGUGUCUUUGACCUUUUAGACUUGAUGAACAAGACAAAAGCAAAAAGAGAUGUCUUCAUGAGAGAGUGAAUAGUAUUGGCCUGAUUGUUGCUGUCUGGAACCGUGUUAAAUAAUUUAUGGUUGUGCAAAGUGGAUGGAAAAUGCUACCAGCAGGGCUGUGUUUCAGCAGUGGGUGAAAGCAGAGGAGGUUUGCUGCCUUUCUGAGGAAGUACUGAAGAGAGAUCUUUCUGCAGCAGAGGAGCUGAUACUACAGCUGAGGCUAAGACAGUGAGCAGAAUCAGCAGAAAUUAAUUAAAGUUUUGUCAAAGCCAUAUCUGACAUGACGUUUGCAAGUUUAGGUUCUCAUUGCAUGAUGAAUUUCCUGCAAUUAUUUGGGUAAGUAACAAUAGCCUUGAGAAUGAGCUUUUCCGUAGUUUAUCCUUCAUUUCUAUUUCUGUAGUCAUAUAACCAUCUCUGAAACAAAGUAUAGCACUGUUAUGGUUUUAAGUGUAUUUCCGUGAUUUUGAUCAAAAGGGAAUUCUCGUUUGUGUCUGAGAAGAUUCUGAAGGAAACCCAUUUACUUUUGGUUGGAGAGAUCAGUAUUGUGUGUUCGGACUAUCAUUUAUAAAAUUUUCUUCUUUUAUUGAUUCCUUGCUGUUAAUUUUUUUUUACUUCAUUUCUUUUCUUUAAAACUAUUCAUGUAGCUCUGCAGUUCUGACAUUAAGUGUUCAGACACCUAAGUCAUGGAAUUUGUA